CAGCAGCCACGGGAAUGCGUAGGUGGCAAGCGUUGUCCGGAAUUAUUGGGCGUAAAGGGCUCGCAGGCGGUUUCUUAAGUCUGAUGUGGAAGCCCCCGGCCCAACCGGGGAGGGUCAUUGGAAACUAGGAAACUUGAGUGCAGAAGAGGAGAGUGGAAUUCCAUGUGUAGCGGUGAAAUGCGUAGAGAUGUGGAGGAACACCAGUGGCGAAGGCGACUCUCUGGUCUGUAACUGACGCUGAGGAGCGAAAGCGUGGGGAGCGAACAGGAUUAGAUACCCCGGUAGUCCCUGUCUCUUAUAC
rnacentral:rRNA from 1 species